rnacentral:lncRNA from 1 species
CAGCAAGAGUCAAACACCUCUCCCAUCGCUUUAUGCAGCUGUGGCGACCUCGUCUGUAGAAAUCGGCAGGUCGUGUCAGAAGCCACGACUUGACCUCAGAAAUCAGCAUUUCAUCAUCUGGAAAAAGCUUGCCCUUCAAAAAUAACUUCAUGGUUGGAAAGAUGUGGAAGUCCAACAGUAUGAGGUCGGGAGAUAAGGAUGGUGAGGAAGGAUUUCAUAGCCACAGGACCAUGCUUCCGUCUGAGCAACAUGUGAGUUGUGAACUGCAGGAGGCGGACACCUUUGGUCAGCAUACCAUACCACGCCUCUCGAUUUUGAUAGCCUUCCGCAAUUUCUGCAGCAGUGAAGCAUAGUAUGUUCCGGUAAUUGAGGUACCCUUUGCCAGGAAAUCCAUCAUCACUACUCCGCAAAACACCACGAACAUGACCUUGCCCGCUGACAGUUGGACACGUACCUACUAUUGGAGGUGGUGAGGCAGAGUGCUUCCAUUGUUUGGACUGAGAUUUAGUCUCUGAAUCAUAAUGAUGGACCCAUGUUUUGUCUUGAGUAAUUAGUCUGGUGAAGAAGUCAUCAUGGUUUUCGUGACCAAAGAGACCAUGAGCAUGUGACUCAUUCCCGCUUCUGGAAAGGCAACAGCAGCCGGGGAACCCACCGUGCGGACACCUUUCCCAUGUGCAAAUGGUCAUGGAUUAUUUUUUCUACAGAGCCCACACUGAUCUUAACAUUUGCAGCUAGUUGGCGAAUGGUUAUGUGACGAUCCUGCAAAAUGGCAGCCUCCACUUGCCAGAUGGUGUCUUCAUCAAUGGCUGUCAUCCCCUAGGAAUGGGAGACGUUCCACCAAAGUCCGACCACACUUGAACUGACUAUGCCAGUGCUUGACUACAUCAUACGAUGGGGCCUCCUCCCCAUAAGUCCCUUUUAUCAUCAAACGUCUCCCGUGGUAUGUGCCCUUUCAAGCACAGGAACCUGAUGACUGCUCUGCAUUCAACUGGUUCCAUUAUCAGACGUUUAUCCACAUUAGCACCAGUAACAUUGAAACUGUUAGGAGUUCAAAACUACAAAUUACCACAUUACCUAUGGAGAGAUGUAUCAUUAUACUUGUGCAAUUUCAUCCGCCUACGAUAACCGGAAGUGGGUCAGGGGAAAUCUUUAAUGAGCGACCCUCGUACAAAGUUGCUCUCUUGCGGUGCAAUCCUGUGCAUAUUUGCUAAGUUUGAUAGGACAUACUGCAAGGGAACAUGUGUAUCGUAUUGCAGCCAGAGGUUUAACCUAGGUGGAAUCUACACACAUAUAAAAACAGUUCUGAAAAUGCUUUUUUAAGCACUUUUUUAAAAAAAUAAAUUCAAUUUUCCAUAAGGCUCACCAUUGCCAUAUAGUGUCACAUUGUAUAUUUCACUUAAGACACAUUUAAAACGUUUUAUUUGCAGCUGUAUAGCUGAGUCCCUACUCUUGUCAAUAACCACUUGCCUGAUCAGCCUGUGGGGAGGACAAAUCAGUUUCAAGUUUCAGGCAACCAGGCAGAAAAGCUGUGUAAAAAGUUAACAGGCAGGAGUGGGGAAAUGAGGUCCACUCAUACAAGAGGCCACUUUACUCCACCCACCCACCUGCUUCCACCCCUAAACCUGGGCUGGAGGAUUGGGGAAACCCAGAAAAAGGGUUUCAGAGGUGGUGGUGUAGGCACAGAUGGGGAGGAAAAGAUGGGAAAGUCUUGUCCAAGCAGAUCUCAUUCUCCACACACAUACCUCACUUAGCGCAAAUGUUGAAUCCAAACCUUUAAAUUGAAUUGAAAUUGACUCGAAUUAAAAACUGCCCAAAGUUCCACAGCAAAAGGAACGUUAUUCAUUACUCAGAAAUUAUAUUAACAACUUGCAGGUGUAAUUCAGAUAUUUAUUUAUUAAUUCAGUGUAUUUGUUCAGCCUGUACAUUGACUAAACCAUGGUAUUGCAUUACAUGUGAAUCAGCCCAAUGAGUUCUCCGGUCAGCUCUUUAAAAGCAGGUAUUUGGUACUAAAAAUUUCCUUUGAAUUUCAAAUACCCAUUUCAAUGUUGAAUAUGGUAGAAGUGCUUGUAUUUUUUGCGCAAGUGCCCCAAAGGCUAUUACAUAUUACAUAAAGGCUAUGUUGUUGUAGUUGUUGUUGUUAAAGUGUAUUAAUACCCCACCUUUUUCUCCAAGGAUUUCAAGUUAGCAUACGUGGUUCUCUCCCCUCCUUAUUUCAUCCCCAGAACACUAUGAGGAAGCUUAAGCUGAGACUGCUAUCCCUGGAAACUGCUGGUGUGAACUCUUGAGUUGAGAUAACAUGACAAAUUUAAUUUUCUGUCUAAAUCCUUCUCUUCCAGUUUAUAAAAUUCAUCGCAUUCAACAACUACAGGCAAAUUUUAUGAGGUCCAAAUGACUAACAGAACUGAAAAAACAAAUCACAAAGGGACAGUGAUACCAAAAGUUGUCUGGCUUGUGCUCUCCACCCGCAACAUUUUAUUUGUUAUUCUGGGCAAAAAUUGUACUUCUCCAUUCCAGGCGGAACCCAAAAUCCUCCUUGUGUGCAGUAGCUUUCUGACUUGCAAUGUCCUUUUUUCUCUCUCACUUCUCCCUUGCUUCCUUUUUUCAGUUCUCUUUCAGCACUGCAGACUUUGAAACUGCUGAGCUAAACUUUCCAUCCUGGCUAACUUUAGCAAGACCUGCGAUAUUUUGUGCCUGAGUAAUACGUUGUCCAGGAAAUAUCUAGUAGCUAGAGAGCAAGACGACAGAGUGUUUGCUGGUAUUUUUUUAUUUUAUUUUUAGCUUUAUGAACAGGAGUGUGUGAUUCUGAACUCAUUUCUGUGGUUUAUCUCUGUAGAUCGUAGCAUAAGUAUAAAUGCUGACAUAACUUCAGUGUGACGUGAGAUUCUCCAUCAUGAAUGAACCUUGCUCGGUACAAGCCUGAUAACCAGCCUCGUCUCAAAAACGUGCCCUGGAUUUAUUCAGAGAGAACAUCCUGAACUCCACAAACUUUGUAAAAUCAAGUUGCUAGCAAAGUCUAUUCAAACUCCUGAAUGGGGGCCAUCAAGGUCAUGGUGCAACAAUAAUAAGGCAGAGAGCAGCCAAAGAUGGCCAGGUUCAGUAAAUGGCUCAUGAUCACAGUCUUUCACCCUUUUGUUAAGCAAACAGGGUGGCCAGUUUUUAGUCAUUUUCUCACUAGGAUGGGCAAGGUGAGAAAGGGGCAGGAAUUGUUCGUUUCAAAGCCCCCCUCCCCCACUUCACUAUUAGGAGGCAUUAGCUAAAUAUAUUAUUUAAAACUCCAGAUUCCCAGUAGGCAGUUGGCUCUGCUAGUUCAACAGAACUUAUCCAGCGCUCUCAAGGACCAGCAUAUGUGCAGUUAAGGACAGGUGUAUUUUUCUGCCAGGCUCUAGUGUGGGUUUCUGUGG